UUGCUUUAAAAGGAUUGGUGAAUCAACAAUUAUCGGCUGACCAUAUCGAGUCCUCAGUUAGCCCCUAUAACACUCCCAUCUUCGUCAUAAAAAAGAAGAGUGGAAAAUGGAGAUUUCUCCAGGAUUUAAGGAAAAUUAAUGAAAUCCUUGAACCCAUGGGGCCUUUGAUGAUGCCUAAUCAAAAUGUGAUCCCACAUUCUUAUCAAUUGGCUAUCAUAGAUUUGCAAGAUUGUUUCUUCUCCAUCCCCCUACAGGAGAAGGAUCGUAAAUUCUUUGCUUUCAC
rnacentral:sRNA from 1 species